rnacentral:rRNA from 1 species
AUGGUUUCGUGGAGCGACGACAGCGAGGAAUCGGGCUACGAGUACUCUUCAGGCGGCUCCCCUAUCAAGAUCCCGGCUACAAUCGAGGACCCGAACUACUCUGGUGUUGACGAUGAGGUGAUGGUGAUGUGUGAGCAUGGCCAACCAGCAAAGAGGCAUGUUUGCUUCUCAGGCAUUAGCACUGGGAGGAGGUUCCUUGCCUGUGGACUUGAAGCAAGCAGCUGUGGUGUUGUUCAGUGGGACAAUAUUCCCAAGGAAAAUGAAGUCCAACAAGGUGAACAUGAGGAGAUCACUCCUCCUUUGGACAACAAUAUUUUAGCUUUAAAUGAACAGCUGGGUGCAAUGGAUGCUGAGAACAAAGAACUGAAGCAAAAGGUUGACCAGUUGAGGAGCAUUCAGGUUGCCCAAGGUAAUGUGAUUAGGAAUCUGAAGUUUGCUCAUUUGAAGGAGAAGGAAAAGUUGAGCACUGAGAGGAGGAAUUUGGAGUUUCACAUUGCUGAUCUUGUCAAAGCUAGUGACAAGAACAAGAGAAAGCUGAAGGACAUCAAGGAUAUUUGUGAUGAAGAGUGA